rnacentral:misc_RNA from 1 species
UGGGGGCUCUCCAAAAGGCAAGGCAUCGUUCUCAAAGAAGUCGUCAAAAUCACCGAACUCAGAAAGAAGAGCUUGGAUAUUAAUCCCCAUACCUCUAUCAUCAUCAUCCCAAUCUAAUUGAGAUCCAAUCUGCUCGUUUGCAACCCCUGUGAUGGCUGAAUUGCCAACUUCAAAAGAACCAAAAUCAGACUUGUACACGUCUUGC